rnacentral:tRNA from 1 species
UCCCUGGCAGUCCAGUGUUUUAGGACACCGCACUUUCACUGCCGAGGGUAUGGGUUCAAUCCUUGUUCAAGGAA